CACAUCCCAGCAUCCUUGCUGAUUGGCGAAGAGAUGACGGCCAUCUUGGAUUGUAGCGGGGAAGAAAGAUUGAUGCGGUGACACGCGGUAUGUUUGGUGCUAACCGGAAGAAGUUUAUGGAGGGAGGUGUAGAGAGCGACUACGCGGACGACUCCAGCCUCUACUACACCCAACAGUCCAUGUUCCCUCCACACCGCCCUGACAAAGAUAUGCUGACGUCUUCCUCUGCUUCCUCGACGGGUCAACUGUCGCAGCUUGGAGCCAGUUUAUAUGGCCCACAGAGUGAGUAGAAGACACUACACACACACACGUGUGUACUUUGUUACUUUAGUUAAUUUACUUUGAGAUGCAGAGGAUCUCCAUCAGGAGAAAACACGGGCUGACCAAUCACAGAUCUGUGUGUGUCGCUGAAAUCUGUUUCUUGAGAAUCAACAUAUUUUCUCUGUCUGUCUGUCUCUCUGU